rnacentral:rRNA from 1 species
AUUGAACGCUGGCGGCAUGCUUUACACAUGCAAGUCGAACGGUAACAGGCCGCAAGGUGCUGACGAGUGGCGAACGGGUGAGUAAUGCAUCGGAACGUGCCCAGUCGUGGGGGAUAACGCAGCGAAAGCUGUGCUAAUACCGCAUACGAUCUAUGGAUGAAAGCGGGGGACCGUAAGGCCUCGCGCGAUUGGAGCGGCCGAUGUCAGAUUAGGUAGUUGGUGGGGUAAAGGCCCACCAAGCCAACGAUCUGUAGCUGGUCUGAGAGGACGACCAGCCACACUGGGACUGGGACACGGCCCAGACUCCUACGGGAGGCAGCAGUGGGGAAUUUUGGACGAUGGGCGCAAGCCUGAUCCAGCAAUGCCGCGUGCAGGAAGAAGGCCUUCGGGUUGUAAACUGCUUUUGUACGGAACGAAAAGGUCUGGGUUAAUACCCUGGGCCGAUGACGGUACCGUAAGAAUAAGCACCGGCUAACUACGUGCCAGCCGCCGCCGUAA